rnacentral:rRNA from 1 species
UAACGCGAAGAACCUUACCAAGGCUUGACACACACGAGAACGGGCCAGAAAUGGUCAACUCUUUGGACACUCGUGAACAGGUGGUGCAUGGUUGUCGUCAGCUCGUGUCGUGAGAUGUUGGGUUAAGUCCCGCAACGAGCGCAACCCUCGUUCUAUGUUGCCAGCGCGUAAUGGCGGGAACUCAUAGGAGACUGCCGGGGUCAACUCGGAGGAAGGUGGGGAUGACGUCAAAUCAUCAUGCCCCUUAUGUCUUGGGCUUCACGCAUGCUACAAUGGCCGGUACAAAGGGCUGCAAUACCGUAAGGUGGAGCGAAUCCCAAAAAGCCGGUCUCAGUUCGGAUUGAGGUCUGCAACUCGACCUCAUGAAGUCGGAGUCGCUAGUAAUCGCAGAUCAGCA